rnacentral:rRNA from 1 species
UGGGGAAUUUUGGACAAUGGGCGAAAGCCUGAUCCAGCAAUGCCGCGUGUGUGAAGAAGGCCUUCGGGUUGUAAAGCACUUUUGUCCGGAAAGAAAUCCUUGGCUCUAAUACAGUCGGGGGAUGACGGUACCGGAAGAAUAAGCACCGGCUAACUACGUGCCAGCAGCCGCGGUAAUACGUAGGGUGCAAGCGUUAAUCGGAAUUACUGGGCGUAAAGCGUGCGCAGGCGGUUUGCUAAGACCGAUGUGAAAUCCCCGGGCUCAACCUGGGAACUGCAUUGGUGACUGGCAGGCUAGAGUAUGGCAGAGGGGGGUAGAAUUCCACGUGUAGCAGUGAAAUGCGUAGAGAUGCGGAGGAAUACCGAUGGCGAAGGCAGCCCCCUGGGCCAAUACUGACGCUCAUGCACGAAAGCGUGGGGAGCAAACAGGAUUAGAUACCCUGGUAGUCCACGCCCUAAACGAUGUCAACUAGUUGUUGGGGAUUCAUUUCCUUAGUAACGUAGCUAACGCGUGAAGUUGACCGCCUGGGGAGUACGGUCGCAAGAUUAAAACUUAAAGGAAUUGACGGGGUCAUAGCUGUUUCCU